rnacentral:siRNA from 1 species
UAAAACGACUCUCGGCAACG